rnacentral:rRNA from 1 species
GAAACUAACAAGGAUUCCCCUAGUAGCGGCGAGCGAAGCGGGAAGAGCUCAAAUUUAUAAUCUGGCACCUUCGGUGUCCGAGUUGUAAUCUCUAGAAGUGUUUUCCGCGUUGGACCGCACACAAGUCUGUUGGAAUACAGCGGCAUAGUGGUGAAACCCCCGUAUAUGGUGCGGACGCCCAACGCUUUGUGAUACACUUUCAAUGAGUCGAGUUGUUUGGGAAUGCAGCUCAAAUUGGGUGGUAAAUUCCAUCUAAAGCUAAAUAUUGGCGAGAGACCGAUAGCGAACAAGUACCGUGAGGGAAAGAUGAAAAGCACUUUGGAAAGAGAGUUAACAGUACGUGAAAUUGUUGGAAGGGAAACGCUUGAAGUCAGACUUGCUUGCCGGAGCUUGCUUCGGUUUGCAGGCCAGCAUCAGUUUUCCGGGGUGGAUAAUAACGGUUUGAAGGUAGCAGUCUCGGCUGUGUUAUAGCUUUCCGUUGGAUACAUCCUGGGGGACUGAGGAACGCAGCGUGCUUUUU